rnacentral:rRNA from 1 species
AGUGAACGCUGGCGGUAGGCCUAACACAUGCAAGUCGAACGGUUGCACAGUAAGAGCUUGCUAUUACUGCUGGCGAGUCGUGGACGGGUGAGGAAAACAGCUGACUCUUCUUUUUCGUUUGGGCUCACGUAGUGAAACCUACGCUCAUACUGCAUACCACCUUCGGGUGAACGCAUGGGAUCUUCGGCCCUUGCGCGAAUGAAUGAGCCGAUGACGGAUUAGCUAGUUGGCGGGCUAAAGGCCCACCAAGGCGACGAUCCGUAGCUGGUCUGAGAGGAUGAUCAGCCACACUGGAACUGAGACACGGUCCAGACUCCUAAGGGAGGCAGCAGUGGAGAAUAUUGAACAAUAGGCGAAGGACUGAUCAAGCAAUACGGCGUGGGUGAAGAAGGCCUUCGGGUUGUAAAGCCCUUUUGUUGGGAAAGAAAAGCCGCAGGUUGAUACCCCGCUGUUCUGACGGUACCAAAAGAAUAGGCACCGGCUAACUUCGUG